rnacentral:lncRNA from 1 species
GAAAUCCUAAAUUUUUGAGAUGAGCCCUAUAAACCAGAAAGGAGAGAGUAUUACACUAAUACAAUAAUUAUACUAAAAUUAACUAAAACAGAGAAAAAAAAUGAAAACAGAGGGCAUGCGGACGCGUGCACCUGGGCCGCCACGGCCUUUGGCCGGCCCACUUCAGCCGCCGCAUAAGGGAGAUGGGAGGGGCGAUUAAGGAUAAGGCAACAACCUCUACCGUACCAGCCAUGACCACAAACCCUCGGCCACCUCGAUGCUGCCGAUGAAGGCAGAAAAACCGCCAGCGCCACCUUGCUCCACUUCGGCCGCUCACCGACGAGACAUGGGGGGAGUCUUCCUCAUUGGAGGAAGAGGUGACCAAGACGAGAUCGAGGCGCACACCGCACGGCAGGGCGGGGGCAAUGCCGAGACCCGCCGGAUCCCACGAGUCGGCGCUACGACCGGGGCGGCGGUCGAUGGCGGCCAUGACGCGCCCUAAGAGCCGCCCGAACCGCCAUUCCGUGCGGCUGCUCGAGCCCGCGGCCAUCUCCUGUUGAGGUGUGGCGCCCUCCAUGCCGGCUCCAAGGCGAACGACGUCCGAGGUACCGAUUGGCGCAAAGAGGAAGGAGAGCGCCUCCUCCGCAUUCAUCGUUGAGUGCAUUGGUACCGGGGCGUAGCCAGGCGGGCAGAGGCUCGGGACAACGGCCACGGCAUCUGCUGUCGGCGGCGGGAUCAACGCGAUCGAUGGAGGUGGGGUGGAGGCGGGGACUCGGUGGGCAGAGCAGGAGCGGUACCGGCCCCGUGCACCAUGUGGGCACUCGGGCCGGCCAACCCCAUGGGCGCUAGACCACGAGCGCGGGGAGGACCGCGGUGGGUGCGUCCAAGAGCACGGUGACCGUGUCCAGCGGCGUGGUGAGCACCGCAACGGGCGCGUCCAACGACAUUGCGUCCGAACCAUCGGAUGGCUUGCAUCCGGCGACGAAAACGACGAAGGCCAUCAACUCCAUGGCGGUGAAGGGCAAUGAGGCGGUAGCGGCGACUGUCCUCGCGGAUCAGACAGAGAAAGAAGGAGACAAGGCCUAACAUCUCACCAUCGGUGAGUGCUCCUUCCCUCCCUUUCUUCUCUGUGUUCUCUCUUUCUCUGUUGCGCAUUGCUCUUGGUAGGCAAGUGUUGAUAAUGUGUUUGGAAUGGAAAAUGAUUAAACAUUCAUCGAUGAUUACAUGAGUAUAAAUAUUCCUUGGAGAGACACGAUGAUACAAGGAGUUGCGUCGAUUCGAGGACGAGCGGGAGAGGCGAUGGUUGCCGGGAAGAGUCGUUCGACGGUUUGAGAAAAAGUAGAUUUUCCUAAUUACAUUAAUGUAAUAAAUCUUAACAAUUAAUUUGAUUGCUCGCGUAAAACGGGUAAACAAGAAAGUUCUUAGCAAGUAUUUUUCUUUCCCCAGCCACAUUUUCUUCUUAGACCCUGUUUGGAUCACUGUUACACUUGUAAAAAAUACACACAUGCUGCCCUCGUUUCACAUUCGGGUGGAAUUUGCACAAAGACCAGUAAAUUACACAUACACAUCUCUAUUGAAAUACAUCCAAUCCAAGCACGGCCUAAGAACAACUCGAACGAAGCGACUCAAAUCGUCCGCCUGUGUCCGUUUGGAUCGGCACAGACAAAAGUGAAGGCCCAACGUGUCGGUCCAAACUCAAAACGCGUCCGUACGAACCCAUUUUUUGACCCAAAAUUGCGCGUGAAAUGCAUAGGUGCGGACGCGGCACGCGCCUUCUCAUGUUAGCGCCCAUCCAUACAUGACGGCCGAUCAAAGCCAGCAUCGUUUUUAUUAACGACAACCACCCACCACAAGCCCACGCACGGCAACCCAGAGGCGUCCUUUUUUAAUCCGAACAUGGGGUGGGGGGCUCAUCCUCUUCCAAAAAUCACCCCCAUCCACAUCUAGCCACCCGAUGCUCCCCCACCGACAGCAAACCCUAGCUACCAUGGGUUUAUUCUCUAGCAAAGACAAUGUCAAGUCCCCCGUCGUCCCUGUCCGCGCGCUCCCGUCCGCCACGCCAACCGGUCAGCGUACCAAUGCACUGGGCGAGACGACACUGGUGGAGCAUCACAUCUCCCUCCCUUACGCUGUUGUUACGCUGUCGCACGACUGACAUUUGGAUCCGAAGAGGAUCCUAGUGCCCACGGUCGACACGGGAGCAUGCGAAGGAGGGGAGGCACCGACGAAAACAGCUAACGUCAGAGUAGCGACGCAACCCCGUCUGUACGUUGCAAACUCCCUCGAUUGGGAGGCCUAGUUUGCGUGGGAGCAUGAGAAGCAACAUGCGUUCCCGAUCAUCAACCCCACCGCUCCUCACGCCUAGCAAUGCACCUCCUUAUUUUUAGUUUAUUUAAUUUUAUAUUUAAUGUAAUGUGAACUAUCACCGGCCUUCCAGUUGACAUUAAAUGUUUAACUAAUGAUUCCUAUAUUUUUAAAAUAUUUACAUAUGCUAAAAAUGAAUCGCUGAUCACGUUGCAAACACCGACUCAAUUGCAAAAGCGGACACAAAUGUAUGUCAGACCGAUCCAAACAAACAAAAUACCAACAUGGCGGGCGUCCGUUCUGAUAGAUCUUAGAUUCAAUUCCAUUCCUCGAGGUCACACAUGUACUUAUGAGCAGUCAGUAACACGCACGCACGCAAGGGCACGCACCCACACACACACUCACUCAGGGCCUGGGACAAUAAUUUAUCGAUGCCGUGUGACGAAGGUGGAUGGGUGUAGGGAUGUAAAUGGCGCUGGGACCCACUAGUCCCACAUAUGCCAUCCACCAAAAAAUUCUUAAAUGGCAUUUGUGGACACGCACAAAAAUUAACUGGGAUAAAUGGAUAGCCCAGAAAAGCCCAUCGACAGUCCACCGCACCGUGCCAAGACACCCGCUCCCGAUCCAUGGCGCCACCGCCACCGCCACCUCGUCCAAGGAAAUCGCUGGGAAUGCGUCUUCAUCCUGCCAAUCCAUGGCGCCGCCGCCACCACCGUCCCUCACCCUUCCGACGCCAUCUUCGGCUCCCCCUCCGCCGCGAGAGGAAAUCGCUGGGGAAAUCCCGACACCUGCUCCCCCGCCUCCUCCUCUGCUCCCAGGUAUCCACAGAUCUCACCUUCCCCUCCCCAACAGCCAGCCUCUCCUCCGGGACGAAUCCCUCGGGCCAUGGAUCGACCUAAGCAUGGAUCGACCUAAGCAUCUCAUUGCUGCGAGAUGAACUGCAAAGUGUAGUGCAGAAUUUUUCUGACUAGAAAAGCUUGGCACUGAAUGUCUGAAUCGCAUUGAGAGGCUGUGUGUUCCAAAAAUCCCCCCUCCCCCAUACACCUCCGUCGCCAGAGCCUGUCCGCUCCGCUGCCACCCCUCAUCCCGAGGACUUCCUGCUAGCCGCCGGUGGCAAGAAAGCCCGAGGACCACCACCUGUUCGCGACCAGGCCAUUGUCGCCCCCUCGUCCACUGUUUCGCUGUUGCUACCGCCUCUCUGUCAUCUGCUUCAGCAGCUACAGGUUUGCUGCUCCUGCUUUUCUAGUUGAACUGUAUAUUCUUGGUAUCUUAGAAAUUUGGUGGACUUCAUACGGCUUGAUGCUUUCUUUUAUACUAAAUUACAAGUGCGCAAAUCCUCUGACUUGAGUCACCAGAGCAUCUACUUGUAUUGGGUCGUUUCAUUAGUGCCUGGUCAAAUACCAGUGUAAACUGAACACAAGCCCAUAAGUUUACCUGGAAGACAAGCUGUGCCUUAAUCGCAAAUUAAUUUAGGGAAAAUCUAACUAACUGCGCUGCAUAUUGUUAUUAGCGUGCGGCGGCUGGCACACUCUCCGUCAUGCAUGCAUGCAUGCAGAUUUGUUUUGAAUGACUGAAAUUUAAAAAGUUUUAUCUUUCAAACCGUUAAUUCGAUCGAUGAUCCGUUUUCGCCACUGAUUUUAUCGCAACGAGAUCUUUAAAACUAGAUCCCAUGUCGACAUGUUUCGACAACUUUUUUGUUUCUCGUACUUACCACAUUUGUUGCACUUACUUGUCAUAUUGGUAAGUACUUACUUGUGUGGUAAAAAUAACUUAAUCGUCAUAUUAUUUGGAAAUUGCGUAUAAAUAUGACAUCUCAACAUAAUCAAACGAGCAAGCACAAACAACUUUUUUUAGACGAUCACGCGCAAAAAUAUGACAAAUCAACAUAUUUAAAACUGAUGACCACAAGAAAUCUUUUUUGGUCAUCGUUUGUAAAUAUGACAACUUGGCACAGUAAAACUAAGAAGCACACAAAAUAGUUUUCUGGCAAAUUUAUAUGUAAAUAUGACAAGUUGACAUAUUUAAUUUGACAAACACAACCUACUACAUGCUUUUUAUAUCAUGUAUGAUGAAAACUACUACAAGGCUUUGUACAAAACAAUAUUAAAAAGUGACAAUCAAGUUAUUUUUUUAGACAAGUAAGUGGUUAAUAAUAUGGCAAGUGAGUCAAAAAAUGUGGCAAGUAUGAACGAAAAAAAAUAGUUGACGGAACAUGUCAACAUGGGAUCUAGUUUCGAAGAACUCGUCGCGAGAAAGUCAAUGAUGAAAACGGAUCAUCGAUUGAAUUAACGGUUUUGUAGAUAAAACUUUUUGAAUUUUCAAACAUCAAAGUGAAUCUUGCAUAUGGCAGGUCGUGCUUAGUCUGUUGGAGCCGCCGCACGGUAAGGCUUUCCUACGGGCGCCGCUCCCUAGUCCGGUCCAUUAAUUUAACUCAACAAUUGUUCUGUGUGUAUCUAGAUCCACCCCGGCAUCAUGUCUUCAGAGGAGCUCACAACCAGGAUGCUAGAUUUGGCGGUGGCUUCGCAGGCCCCGAUGGCCAGCCAAAUCAGUUCUUACUUCAUACUUCCGAUUUGUUUAGCAUUGAGAGGCUGUGUGCAAAAAGGGUGCUGGACUUACUUCAUACUUCAUACUUCCGAUUUGGCAGACAAAUAGACUGUAUGGAUCCGUUAAUUCUUGCGUCUCUUUUUAUGAUCUAAAUGUGGAGAUUUGAGUAAGAUUAUGACUUAUAUGAAAUGUACUACAAGAUAUAUUGCCAGUGUCAAUUCUGAAAUUUAGUUUUUGUUGGGUUUUCCUCAUUAACCAGUCACAAAAAGGUGAUGGACUAUACUGUAGAAGCUGACAGAGUUAUCAUGACAACAUAUACAAAUUUAGUACAAAUAUUCUUCUCAUUUGUCUAGUGACUACAAUAUUUUAAUUAUCUCACAAAUGGUAAAAUAUUUACGGUGCCUUUUUAUGCAGGGAACCGUAACCCAGCAAGACUGAAGACUAUAGGUGAGUUGCCUGACCCAUCUAUCCCAUCGGUUCUUAUUUCGUCUGCUCUUGUUAUGCAUCUUGUUAUGAUGCAGAAUUAGUCAUGUCUUUUCGCUACCUAUUCAAACUUUGUAUGGAACUUCGCUGUACUUGAUUUCGUGCGGAUCAACUUGUUUUAGAGGAGUUGGUCAGAAAGAAAUUCUCCAAGUUAGAUUUGUUAUAUUUUCCUUUAUAUAAAAUUGCAUGACUUCAAGUUGCUGUUGCUUCGUCAGGAUCAGCUUUGUGGAGCAAGUUUAUAUAUUCUCCAAGUUGCUGUUGCUUCGUCAGGAUGAGCUUAGGAGUUUCACAGUGAAACCAAGUUGAUUCAUGGUGCAAGUUGCUGUUGCUUUGUGGAGCAAGUUGCUGUUGCUUUGUGGAAGUAUACAUCUUAUCCUGUAGUUUAAUAAUUAUCCGAAAGAGUGUAAGUUGCAGAGAUAUGUUUAAUCUGAAGAGAGAUUCGGAGUAUUUUUAUCUGAGAAAUACUAUUUUGUUGCAGUAUAUUUUUAUCUAAGAAAGUAUAUGUUUUUCUGAAGAAAGAUUUAGAAUAUGGACAGUAUUUUUAUCUUAGAAAGUAU